rnacentral:lncRNA from 1 species
UUCCAAUGUAAUACUGUGUACAUUCUUCAUCCUUAUUAUUUACAGGGACUGAAUAUACACCCGACUUUCUAUCGCUCGGAACCGGGUCUUUUUCAUUAUGGAACAUUACAGAGUGUGGGGCCUCUCUUCCUGGCCAUCCUCAUAUACACUCAUAUCACUAAAUGGCAAGAUAAGAUUAAAGAACUGUCAUAAGUUUAUGCACAAGGAUGCAAGUAUGGAUAUAAUACCAGAGUUAUGGAAGAUUUAUGGAAGAAAAUCCAGAAAUCUAUGGAAAUGCCUCCCCUGCUAAGACUCCAAGACCAGCAGAACUAUGAUACCUGCCCCUUCUCACGGGUUACAUAUUAUAAGAGUACUGAUAAGAUCUUGAACAGGGCCAUAAAAGAUGGGGACUGUAGGAUGGCCAGAGAGGCCCCACACUCUGCAGUGCUCUGCCAUGAAAAAGACCCUUAGGAUUUAAAUAAAAGCACUAUGAGCAGUAGCGUAAAUUCUUACAACAAUUUUAUUACUACAAACAAACACACAAACGUUUUCGGUAUUUGAAAUACUCUCAUCAGGCAUAUAACAGAU